rnacentral:lncRNA from 1 species
ACCAGCACUUGAGUCUUCCUCCCCGCUGCACCUGGUUCUCUAACACAGUACUAUCUUCAUAUGCUUUAACAUACUCCAGCACUACCACCCAUGGUUUCGUUGGACUCACGAAAUUGUCAUCACGAUUACCAGCCAACCUCACUAUUCCGACCCAACUGAUCAGAAGAUAACAUGCUGUUGACUAAAUAGCUUCCCAGCCAACCUCACUAUUCCGACCCAACUGAGAAGAUAAAUUCAAGCCAAUCCAUUCUUUAAGUUGAGUAUUGAAAAACUUAUCUCUUGCAUUAAUAUGAAGAUGCUGCCACGUAUGUACUGCAAUCGGGCAAUCUCUGAUCACAUGAAGGAUUGACUCUUCAAAUUGAUAACAAUUAUCACAAUAAGGUUCUCCAAGCUUCAAUCUCGCCAGCCACUGCCUGGUUAGAAGCCUUGCAUGCUUCGUUCUUUCUUUUUUUGAAUCUACUUUCUUACUAUCAGAAUGAAACACAUUGUUAAUAUAACAUGCUUAAAAGUUAGUAUAAUAUUUUCGAAUCUCAUCGCACAUUUAAAAUAGAAAUUACAUACAUGUGUUUUACAAACAAGCAUUAUCUAAUGUAUACAAGUAUGGCUAUUCUAAAUGAGAUAUCGUUCUUCUUGCACUUUGCUUGUCGUCUAGGCAUAACACAACAAUAGAGGACAUUCUGCUGUACCAAGCAGUCAAGGAGAAUAUUCUUCUGCAGAACAGUUCACAUGAUAAGCUUGUGCACUAAGAAGAUUCCAAAAGCUGCCCCUAAAUAAUAAUGUUACAGUUAAAAUGGCCCAAUCGUGCGUGCACUCAAGGAUUCCUUAUGUUUAUAUACUGUUUGUCACGAAUAUCGAGGCCUGACUCAUCCUUACAAAACCGGCUUGUAAGGUGAGGAUUGCCUCCUCUUUAUAAACUCUUCUCAAGAAUCCUAUCUAUCCAAUGUGGGACUAAAUCCCACCGAGUGUUGGCCGCUAACACUGUUAUCCUCCAACAAGGCAACAACACCAAUAUGUGCUGAAUUAUUCCUAAAUAUUCUGGAUUUGAAGCUGGCCAUAUAUACAAAUCCAACGUGUCUACUGAGUUGUCUGAAUUGGAUUACCUAUGUGGCCUGAAAACAUAGCAUUCCACAUCUUAAACUCACACACCAACCAUAACUCCACACUUUUCUUGUUGCUUUACUUGUGCUAAAACAUGUCUUAUACUUUCCCUUGUCUUUAUAUAAAGAGCAUUGAGUCUCUUCCUAAGCUACUCAAACAUCUCAACAAUNNNNNNNNNNNNNNNNNNNNNNNNNNNNNNNNNNNNNNNNNNNNNNNNNNNNNNNNNNNNACUAACCAUCUGUCAGAUUGAGUUUGGUUACUACUUCAACUAGCUAGUAUCAAUGACAAUUACUACUAGCUAGUCUACUACACUUAACUAGUUAAUGACUCUCUUGUUUUUGGUUGUAACAAUAUUAGUGCUAAUUGAAAAAACAUUAGGAUAUCUGCUAUACUCUAAUAGCCUAUUAGUCAUCGGAUGAUCCUUUUAUGGAUGAUGUAGUCCUACUUAUAUAUGUUGAGCAGCUUUGUGUUAUGCAGAAUGAAAGACAAAUAUGUGUGUAUAUAUAGGGGAUGUUUCAAGUGAGAGGAAUUCUCAUAAUGAGAGAUGAGAGGAUUAAAUGCUAUCCAUAUGAUUAAAUUGAACGGUUCUGAUGAUUUUACAAUUAAAAACCUCACACGACUUCAAUUUUUCUUUAUCUUUCUAUUCGCACUAAGAAAGAAAGAUCAAGUCCAUAAAAUUCUAAUAAGGGAUCAACAACUUAGAUAGUUCCUUGUGUGUCCAUAAAAUUCUAAUCCAAAGAGAGAUCAAGUCCAGAUUACUCUACAGCCCUUAGUUAUUCAAAUGAACCAAUUCACUGUAAUGCCUAUUUGAAUCAAAAUCAAGUGAAUGUCUCGUAAACCCCUAAUUCACAUCCAAUGCCCUAAACAUCAAUCUUUUCCUACUCAACAAAGAAAUUUGCACAAUUGAACACUGAGAAAAGGAAAGCAUGUAAACUCAGAAUUAAAAGAAUAUUGGGACAGAAAUUUCAUACCUCUUCUUGAUUAAAAAAUGAAUGUGGAAAAAUUAGCUUUCUUAAAGUUACAAAUUGAAUACCAAUGAAAUGAAGUGAUAAAUUUGUGAGGUGUGGUGAUUUGAAAGUUUUAAGGUGAAAGAAUGUG